GACAGAGGGGGCAAGCGUUGCUCGGAAUUACUGGGCGUAAAGGGCGCGUAGGCGGGAUGGCAAGUCGGUCGUGAAAUCUCCGGGCUUAACUCGGAAAGGUCAACUGAUACUGCUCGACUAGAGUGCGGAAGGGGCAACUGGAAUUCUUGGUGUAGCGGUGAAAUGCGUAGAUAUCAAGAGGAACACCUGCGGCGAAGGCGGGUUGCUGGGCCGACACUGACGCUGAAGCGCGAAAGCGUGGGGAUCGAACAGG
rnacentral:rRNA from 1 species